rnacentral:rRNA from 1 species
GUGAACGCUGGCGGUAGGCCUCACACAUGCCAGUCGAACGGCAGCACAGUAAGAGCUUGCUCUUACGGGUGGCGAGUGGCGGACGGGUGAGGAAUACAUCGGAAUCUACUUUUUCGUGGGGGAUAACGUAGGGAAACUUACGCUAAUAACGCAUACGACCUACGGGUGAAAGCAGGGGAUCUUCGGACCUUGCGGGAUUGAAUGAGCCGAUGUUGGAUUAGCUAGUUGGCGGGGUAAAGGCCCAACAAGGCGACGAACCGUAGGUGGUCCGGGGGGAUGAUUAGCCACACCGGGACGUGAGCACGGGUCAGACUCCUACGGGAAGCAGCAGGUGGGAAUAUUGGACCAAUGGCGGAAACCUUAUCCAACCAUACCGGGUGGGUGAAGGAGGCCUUCGGGUUGUAAAGCCCUUUUGUUGGGAAAGAAAAGCAGCAGGUUAAUACCCCGCUGUUCUGACGGUACCCAAAGAAUAAGCACCGGCUAACUUCGUG